GUGCUUGCUUUGGCAGCACACGCACUGAAAUCAGAACAAUUCAGAGAUGGACAAGACCCUUGCUCAAGGACAACACGCAAAUCUGUGAAGCAUUCCAUAUUAAA